CCUACGGGAGGCAGCAGUGGGGAAUAUUGCACAAUGGGGGAAACCCUGAUGCAGCGACGCCGCGUGAGGGAAGAAGGAUUUCGGUAUGUAAAGCUCUAUCAGCAGGGAAGAAGAAAGACGGUACCUGACUAAGAAGCCCCGGCUAACUACGUGCCAGCAGCCGCGGUAAUACGUAGGGGGCAAGCGUUAACCGGAUUUACUGGGAGUAAAGGGAGCGUAGACGGGUGUGCAAGUCUGAAGUGAAAGGCCAGGGCUCAAACCUGGGACUGCUUUGGAAACUGGGGGGCUAGAGUGCUGGAGAGGUAAGUGGAAUUCCUGGUGUAGCGGUGAAAUGCGUAGAGAUUAGGAGGAACACCAGUGGCGAAGGCGGCUUACUGGACCGUAACUGACGUUGAGGCUCGAAAGCGUGGGGAGCAAACAGGAUUAGAUACCCUUGUAGUC
rnacentral:rRNA from 1 species